rnacentral:rRNA from 1 species
AGAGCGAACGCUGGCGGCAGGCUUAACACAUGCAAGUCGAGCGCCCCGCAAGGGGAGCGGCAGACGGGAGAGUAACACGUGGGAACGUACCUUUCGGUUCGGAACAACCCAGGGAAACUUGGGCUAAUACCGGAUACGUCCGUAAGGAGAAAGAUUUAUCGCCGAAAGAUCGGCCCGCGUCUGAUUAGCUAGUUGGUGAGGUAACGGCUCACCAAGGCGACGAUCAGUAGCUGGUCUGAGAGGAUGAUCAGCCUCACUGGGACUGAGACACGGCCCAGACUCCUACGGGAGGCAGCAGUGGGGAAUAUUGGACAACGGGCGCAAGCCUGAUCCAGUCAUGCCGCGUGGGUGAUGAAGGCCCUAGGGUUGUAAAGCCCUUUCGGCGGGAAGAUAAUGACGGUACCGCAGAAGAAGCCCCGGCUAACUUCGUGCCAGCAGCCGC